AUCUUGUAACUCGUAGUUUAUAGGCUUACCUAGCUUAGCUUAGCAGAAACAGCAGCAACAACAGUGAAAUCACAGCUUUCCGGUAGUCCCAGCUACCAAAACAUCCAGAACUACACUGACCUGAUUCCUUUAAAGCCAAGGAUAUAUAUGCAACCUUUGAAGCAAGGUUCGGUCAGAAAUUUUUCAAAAUGCUUCACACGGAGUACUCAGUCGGACAAAAAUCGCUCAUGCUUGCUCACUUGUCUU
rnacentral:lncRNA from 1 species